UGAUUUUACAAUUACGUUUACUUGGGAUAUAAGGCUCUGCUGUUGUGAGUUGCUAAAUAUUCCAACCACUUUCACCUGCAGGUGUAACUUCCACAGAAGGAUUCUCUUGAUGAUGGCUUAUGCACACACCAUUGUUUUCAAGUUCCUGUGUAGAUUGGGAAAAGUUGAUGAGCGUUGUGCACGCCUUGAGCUUGGAUGCCGCUACAGCGCGGUCCGGCCGACGCUGGUGCUUGGGCAGCAUGGUGGCUGUGUUCUCUUUCGGGACUAUGCCUUUGGGGACCUUGCACAGGUUCCUUGACCCCAUUAUAAAUGGACGGUACCCAUACUCGAUGCAAGAGAUUGUCAAGGAUAGGCUGCCAUUGUUCAGCGAUGAAGAGUCCAGGAUGGUGAAAUGCUCCAUAGACUACGUUGGCAUCAACCACUACACUUCUUACUAUAUGAAGGACCCUGGGACAUGGAACCUGAUGCCAGUCAGCUACCAGGAUGAUGGGCAUGUUGGUUUUGUCUAUGAAAGAAACGGUGUUCCUAUUGCCGCUCGUGCAAACUCCUACUUGUUGUACAUUGUACCGUGGGGAAUCAACAAGGCUUCUCUAAAAUUUUUCCUUUAUUUGGUUUCGGUUACUAUUUCAUUUCAUCAUGUCUCAUUUCAUAUUGUUCCCAAUAAUUCAUUAGAGUCAACUUCAUAAGUUUUGACUAAAUUUGAUUUCUGUUCUUUGUUUCAAAAUAGUGGCAAGAUUAAUUAUGCCAGUCAAAACUUUUUUGUUCCAUGGGUAGAAAUAGAAUUCGACUGUUCCAUGAUUCAGUGGCCAAAGAUUGAUUAUUCGACUGUUCCAUGACUGUUACAUCAACUUCAUAAGUUUUGACUAAAUUUGAUUUCUGUUCUUUGUUUCAAAAUAGUGGCAAGAUUAAUUAUGCCAGUCAAAACUUUUUUGUUCCAUGGGUAGAAAUAGAAUUCGACUGUUCCAUGAUUCAGUGGCCAAAGAUUGAUUAUAAUUUUUCUUCUCCUUAAGAAGCAGAUAGCAUUUAAAGACUCUGAUUUCCAACAUGCUCUUAUUUUACAGGAAAGAAGCAUUCUGAACCUUUUCUGAUCAGAGAGCAUUACUCUGAUAAAAUACAUAAUUGGCUUGGCAAGUGAAGAUUUGAAGAACACAAUAGAGAAGACAUUGGGUGGUGCUGGAGUGGCCCUUUUAUCCCCAAGCUUCUUCCAGGGAUGAUGGUUUACCUUGCAUACAAAGCUGCAGCUUCGGUACAAGCUAAAAUCUACAGAGACAAAAAGGAUCUCCAAUUGAUACUCAAGAAAGGAUAUUUUAUUUCAAAGAUAACUCAGGAAAGGAUUAAGGAUAUUUUAUUUCAAAGAAAACUCAGGAAAGGAUUAUGACAUCGGAAGUAUAUGUAAAUAAAUGUAUAUUCUAUGGGUGAUUAUUUGAAUUUUUUGAACCAGUUAUUGUUGACUUCUUUGUGUGAGGACAAUGGACCACGUACUACAGUAACCAGCAUCUAUGUGUUCAUUUUAAA